rnacentral:rRNA from 1 species
UACGGGGGGGGCAAGCGUUGUUCGGAAUUACUGGGCGUAAAGCGUGCGCAGGCGGUUCUAUAAGACAGAUGUGAAAUCCCCGGGCUCAACCUGGGAACUGCAUUUGUGACUGUAGAGCUGGAGUGCGGCAGAGGGGGAUGGAAUUCCGCGUGUAGCAGUGAAAUGCGUAGAUAUGCGGAGGAACACCGAUGGCGAAGGCAAUCCCCUGGGCCUGCACUGACGCUCAUGCACGAAAGCGUGGGGAGCAAACAGG